GAAAAUAACUUUAAACAGAACCAGAAAGCUUUAUUUAAAAAAAAAAUUGAAAGAAAUAUUUAUUUGCUCUUGUAGGAAAAAGAUGCAUUGCUUAGAGCAGAUAAACAAAAUAAUAUGUAUUUUGCAUGAAAACAGGACAAGAAAGAGGUAAAAAAACAAAAAGUUUAUAAAAAUGCAGACAUUAUUGACAGCAAGGGUUUCUGCUUGAACACAUUACAGUAGUAUUUUAGCAUUUUUUUGAUUAGGUAAUACCUUGAGGUGUACCUUUUCUAUUAGUUUGGUUCUACUUAGUGAUGGGUGCGGCAACACCAACGCGUUGGCUCACGUGUCGAGCUCAUAGAGUGAACCCCGUGUCGGUGCGCGUAUCGCUUCAGGAAAAGUCACAUGACCAAUACAGCCACUGUGUCACUGUGUCACGGAGUAGUCAAACAAGGAAGAGCAUCUACCAGCAGUGUUGCCAGAUUAUGCGGUUUAAUAAAUUAAUUUAAUUAAUUUAAUAUAUAUAUCAGCUGAAUUUCUUAACUGGGUUGCCUGCAAUGACGUUUUUGGUCCAGCAGGAGUCAGUAUUAAGUGACACAGUAUCCACACAGUAUCAACACAGUUUGGGCAAUGUGCUGAAACGCUUCACGAGGCCUCAUCUACCCAUCAGUAGCUCUACUCCAUAAAAAGAGUCAGAAUUAGAAAUGCAAGGCAAACAUAUCCAUUUUGCAGAAAUAGUAAAAACUGUAAAAAUCAGCACUUUCAAUUUUGUUGUUUUGUUUUCUUGCUUCUUGUGUAAAAAUGUCAUGCCUUGUGUUUUCCCAGAUCACAAUCACACCAGGUUUCAAUUACAGCAGUUUCUGUUUCAGUUAAUUAGGCUUCGGUAUAUUUAAAUCAUGGUUUUUCAGGUAAUCAGUGCCAGAUUCUUUUGUUUAUAGCUUCUUUUUGUUCCUGGUCCAGGCUGCUGGUUGGCAUGGUUCCGUCUAAGUUUCUUUAAAGUUAAGUUUAUUUAUUUAUUUAUUAAAUAAAAUUUAACGUGUCCUGUCAAACAAUGACUCCUGCAAUUGGGUCCUACAUGACUUCCAUGUUUGAGUUUCAAAACUAAGACACAUCUCCUUCCUAUUAUGCUACAGAUCCACAAGCUCCCAUCAACAGAAAACUAGCUGGGAAGGGCAGGUUCAUCUCGCCUGAUCGGUCUUAAUUACUAAUGCACCGCUAUCAGGAGCUGUUUGUGCGUGCACCGACUCAGCAAAAAGCUUUUCAACGUCGCCACACAAGCUGGCGCCAGUGACACUGUUGCAAGCAAGUUAAACACUUGCAUAUACAAUGAAUUAACAAAAUAAAAUGUGUGCUAAACAUA